ACAAUGCAAUCUUCUGAGCAUGCGAAGUAGACCGAUCACAGCGACAAAGGAGGAGGUCGCCAUUUUAAGAAGUUAUACGUCGAUUAUAAUCCACUUCAAUCGUUUGAAAAAUAAUGUCUUAUCGAAAUAACGAUUGCAGAAUUUACGUCGGAAACUUACCACCCGAUAUACGUACUAAAGAUAUCGAAGACUUGUUUUAUAAAUUCGGUAAAAUUACUUUUAUCGAUUUGAAAAAUAGACGAGGCCCUCCCUUCGCUUUUGUAGAAUUCGAAGACCCCAGAGAUGCUGAAGAUGCUGUCCAUGCAAGAGAUGGUUAUGAUUAUGAUGGUUAUAAAUUAAGAGUAGAAUUUCCUAGAGGAAAUGCACCAGGUAGGGGAAUGGGUUCAAGGGGAAGAGGUAGAGGACCACCUGCUAGAAGAUCACAAUACAGAGUAUUAGUUUCAGGUUUGCCACCAACUGGUAGUUGGCAAGAUUUAAAAGAUCAUAUGAGAGAAGCUGGUGAUGUUUGCUAUGCUGAUGUUUAUAAAGAUGGUACAGGUGUCGUAGAAUUCCAGAGAUAUGAAGAUAUGAAAUACGCAGUUAAGAAGUUAGAUGAUUCAAGAUUCAGAUCUCAUGAAGGUGAGGUAUCCUAUGUCAGAGUAAGAGAAGAUUAUAAUGGUCGUUCCAGAUCCAGAAGUAGAAGUUAUUCUCCUAGACGAACUCGAGGCUCGCCUACUUAUUCUCCUGCUCUUCGCUCACGAUCUGGAUCUCGUUCGCGUUCUCCUUCAAGUUGAAAUUGUGGAGAGGAAAGCUGGACUCAUACUGGAAUCGUGGAGGUGAUAGUGUGAACAGGUUUUAGGACUUAAAAUGAAUCUUGAAAUCUUUAAGCAUGAAGCAUUUGGUGUCAUUUAAUUUCAUAUCAUUGUGAAUUGUAAUGCAUUAAAAUCAUAAGCAUAUGUGUAUGAAUAAUUGAUAUUUACCGUAACUAUUGUAGUCAUGAUUUAAAAUUUUAUUGCUUGAAUUUAAUGUGAUGUAAGGAAGGAAUGCACCUACUAAUUUCUAUUAUUAGUAGGUUGUAAAAAAUUAAAAUUAGGUAACAUGUAUAAUGUAGUUUUUUGACACCUUAAAUGAGUAUAAUUGUUUGUAAGCUAAAGAAUUGCAAAAUAUCUUUGAAACAUCUGUCAUAUUUUUAUAUGUUAAAAUUUUUUGUAUUAGUGUUAUUUCAUGUUCUAAUACUUAUACUUGUACCUGUCUUUAGACUAUGUAUGGAAACUCCCUGGAUUGCCACCUCGCAUGGCUAUACAGUGAGGAAUAAAGGAUUAUAUAUUGGAGGAUUGGAUCUGCCCUGGAUCAGUAGGGAAAUGGAUACAUGGAUGUGCAUGAAAUAAGGAUGGAUAGGAAGGAUAUAAACACUUAAAUCGAGGAUUAACGGAACAGAACUAAUCAUAAGUGGAACAUUACACACUUGCCACAUUCGGAAGUGUUAGUUGAUAAACACAUAAAGGGGAGUCACUACCUGGAAUAUAUAUGGGCAGUAUUGGAUGGAUCACAACAGCUUUCAUUCCUACUUUGCAAUAGGAGAAGUCAGGGAAAAGAAAUGGGAAUACACAAAGGAGUAGGACUUGAAAUAAAUGACUUUUUUCAUGUGGGAUUUGCACACAGGAGGAUUCUCAGGAGAUACUCUGGAUCGAGGGAUUGGGAGAAAGCAUGGAUGCGCCGUGGGACAGAGGUAAAACAUUGUGAGGAUCAAGUUGAGGAUCUUUGAAGUUACAUUUUCAAGACUUCAAACUUUAUUAGGAGAUUCCUCGUAAUAUAGGAUGGUGGCAAGAAGAUAGGAUUACAAAAACUGGAUUACAAAAAGUAGCCAUAGUUUUAGCAUCAAUUUAGAAAUCUAUAUGCUAUUUUAAAUUAUCUGAAUCACAAUCAUUUUCCAUUUAAUUUUUUUUCUCAAUUUAUUUAUUUAAAAUUUUAUACUUUAGAAUAUUUUUUUCUCUUAAGUGUGACAUUUAUGAAAGUUACUUUGAAUGAAUUAUGAAAUAAUAAUUUUGUGUUUUGGCUACCUCAGAUGAUGUGAAUGGUGGUAAGUAAAUAAGGUAAGCUUAUAUAAAAUUUUAGGAAAUUGUUAUUUAGAAAGAGUUGUUCAUUUUUCUUAUCCUAAUAAAAUCUUUAUUGAUCUUUUAAUUAAACAGGAAUACCAACAAGUUUAGAAGUUAUAUAGAACAUAAUAAUAAAUGCUUGUUUUAUAACAAAAUAUAUGAAUUUGGGAUACGAAAAAUGAAUACUUUUUUUUUGUUCUUAAUGAUCCAGUUCUUAAUCUAUGAGUAUACAAUGGGAUGAAAUUUUAUGUUAAAUUGUGAGAUAUUGCAUUUAAUGAAAGUUGCAGGUGUAUAGUUUGAUUUAUUGAAUUUGAUGUAUUAUGUAUGAUUUCUGUUCUACUACUACUAUUAUUACUCAGUAGUAGUAGUAGAACAUUUCAAUUUUGAAGUAUAUUUAAAUAUUUAGUUGAUUUAUUGGUAGAGCUGGUCAAUACAAACAUUUUUUCACUGUAUACAACCAUUUUCAUUAAUAUGCUUAAAUAUGUGAAAACCAAGUUAUAAUUGUGGAAACUAUUAAAUUAGGAAUACAUAUAUAUUGAUUAAAUAGGUAUCAUUACCUUGUUAACGUUUUAAGUAUAGUACAAAGCUGAUAGAAAAACCUACUAUUAUGAUAUUGUUUGUGAAAGAAAAUUAAUUUUACAAUUUAUAUAUACAAAAUAUUUUUGGCAUUGCAUCAUAUUAAAACCAUUAAAAUUGUACAGAAAAUAAAAUUUACAGUUAAAUAAGAUUUCAAAUACUAAUUAACAGGUCAAAAUUACAUUCAAAAAAUUUCUUACUAAUCAAAAUGAUUGAUGCAUAAAAAAAUAAUACUUGUAAUAUGCAUCUCAGUGAUAUCUUAGCUGUAAAAAAUUUACUUUAUAAAUAGCUAUCAUUCUGAAACAUUUAAAACUGCAACAAAAUAUUACUUUUUUUCUUUAUGAAUUAAAAAGUAUUCAUUAGUUUGUAAAUAAUGUUACGUGUGUUUUGAUGCUGGUGAUAAAUUUUAAUAAUUAUACAUUAGUUAGCGCAUGCUUUUCCUUAGUGUUAAGUGAGUUAUCAGUGGGGACACUAAAUAGGGUGAGUAUAAUAUUAUCUAACUAAAUUUUGUUUGAGAAAAUUAGUUUUAGAUAAAUCUUUGAUAUUCAGUAGUAAGGUUUCUUAACAUAAAAAUGCUUUACCAGUACUAAUAAUAUAUCCUUAAGGGGUUAAUUAAUUAUCAGCAUUUUCUCACAAAAAAUUUAAGAAAAUUUAUAUAAAAAACAUGGUAGUUUUAAGAUAAUUUUAUAUACAAUGUUUAGAUCCAUUCUAAACAUAAAUAUUCUUUCAUUUGAAGAAAUGUUAAUUUUAAAGUAGAAAUAAACCCCUUAAGUACUCCUAGAGACUCUCCUAAAAAUGUUUGUGUUAUGGUCAAGAUGAACCUGAUAGUUUACUCAAUGUAAUGUUUUAAUUGAAUUAAUAAUGAUCUAGCAUUUAUUCAUUAUUAAAAUUAUUGUGUGAAGGUAUUUUUUCAAAACUAUAUUAAAUCUAGAAUUUUAAUUUUUAAAGACCAAUGCUUAAAUCAAAUGAGAGAGUUUUGUCCAUUUUGUGAAAAAGAAACUUGUACUAUACAUUCUUUUCAGACAUAUUCAAGUUAAUUGUAUUAGCAAAUACAGUAUAACACAACACAGUAUAAGUGACAACUUUCAAUUUUAUUAUAGAAAAUUUAACAAUGCUUUUCAGACUUCUUUUAGUGUACAGAAGAUUAAUUUUGAUCAAAUGACUGUGAUUUGAUCUGUUUGAGAACAGUUUUAACAUGACAUAUGAAACUUGAUUUUAAUUCAUUGUCAAUCAUCAAAAUGCGUACAGAAAAUCGGAUGUUGAAUUAAUUGAUCCCUAAAAUAAUCUAGUAGAUGAUUAGACAUCAAUCGAUUGAAUUUAUGAUCAUACUUCCGCCGAAUUGAUUGGUGGUUUUAAAUGUGGCUGAAAGCUUUUGUUAGAUAUGGGAUUUCAUAUUAUAAUUAAAUACAAAACUAAGGAGGUGAGGGGUUUUUCAUAUGGAAUGUGUUUUUACUAAUUUUACAUACGCAAACAAAAUGUUAAGUGGAAUAUGUAAUCUCUUUGUGAUAGUUCACAUACAUCUGUUGUAUCUGAGAACUAUGAAUUGUUUUCAUUUCAAUAAUGAAAGUUCUGAGCAUUAACAGCAAAAUGUUUCAAAAUUUUCUACCUGAUUCCGAAGAGAGUAAUUUUAUGCUGUUAUGCGCAUGGCCCACUUUUGAAACACGUAGACAUGGAAUAUUCAGUUCAUUAGUUUGAAUUCUGAAAAGUUUAAUCUUGCUCAUCGUAACAAAAUGUAAGUGUGAAAAAUUGAAUAAUAAAUCCAGAAAGGAGCAUAAAUCUAUUUAACAUUAUUUACAAUCCAGAUUUUUGCUAAAUUAAUCGUUAGUCUAACAUACACAGAGUCCAGAAGUUAGAAAGCGUGUAAUUAGUAAUAUGUUUACACGAAUUUUCAUAUCUCGUUCAAUAAUUAUCCUUUAUUGAUUUAUGAUAAAGUACAAAUCACGUAUAUAAUAUUGUUUGAUAUAAUUGACUUUCUAAUCUACUUUUGUCUGUUAGCACUUUUAAAUCGGUGCCAAUAGGUGCGAAAUUGAUUGAUUUGAUGAUAACGUUCGUGUAAAUGGAUUUUAUAAUUAUUCUAUGGUUACAACCGCCACGUUUAGACUCAAUCAAAAGUGUUAGAUGGCGAAUUAUUGAUGUUUAAUAUCGAUAGGUUGCUGAUACUACAUAACUCCUUUUCGAUUGAUUGUUUCAGAUUCGAACCGAAAUUUAAAGCAAUUACUAACGAAUUCGUAAAUAGCAAUACUGCAAAGACGUUUUUUAGGUAGUAUUGGUAACAAAUUUCGUAAUUAAAUAUGGUAGAAUAUAAAUUUAGUCGCCAAGUGCGCGAUUUUUUUAGCAAUGGAAUUUAACCUGGAAGAUUGAUAACGUACCAUACACUUACAGGGGGAUUUGUAAACAAAAAAAUAUUGAUUUUAUUCGUAUACAAAGGACAAACAUUUGUUUAGUGCUUCCGCGUGCCAAAUAGUUGACGAAUGUGAAAUGAAUGAUAAUCGCGGUAUAAAUUUAGAGAAUCUCAAGUUUUAAUUUGGUUUUUCAUCAAAUUUCAUCCCGUAAGUAUACUUAACUUUUUAAAAUAAUGAUGUUUGUUUUACAGCGACGUGAAUGUUAAUUAAGGAACUCGGGGAUUUAAUACGUGAUUAUUUUCUCUAUGAAGAUUCAAAUUAAUGCGACUGUUCUUAUAAAUGAAAUCGAAGUCGGCAUUUUAAAUUUAUACUUGAGAAAGGGUGAACUAUUAAAUAUUUGGAGGUUAACAUUCUAAUCUUCAAAGCAAAAUCAACGCUUCCCUCAAAUAAUUCAGUUAAAGAAUUGAAUAGCUCUCUCGUUUCGAGAGAAACGUUUUCAUUUUAGCAACGUUAAAUUGGUUUCGAAGAGCGCCGCUUUAUUGGACGUUAAAAGAGUAACAACACGAGUGAAAACUGAAUGGCACUUGUCCGCGAUAAGAACGUAAGUUAUAUAAUAAACACCGAAGCAAUAAUAGUAUUUCACUUAACGCGUAGUGUACUCAUUUUUAACAUUAAUUUUAUUAAUGUGCACCGCGCCAGGUUUUGGCAGUUAAAAUAACGUUUACUUUAGAAAAUUUAAAGUCUCCUGCGGUU
rnacentral:misc_RNA from 1 species